AGUAGUUUGAUCCUGGCUCAGGAUGAACGCUGGCGGCGUGCUUAACACAUGCAAGUCGAACGGAGAACCCCUGAACGAGUUUUCGGACAAGUGAUGGGAAUUCUUAGUGGCGGACGGGUGAGUAACGCGUGGGUAACCUGCCCUAUAGAGUGGGAUAGCAGUUAGAAAUGACUGAUAAUACCACAUAAGACCACAGUACGGCAUCGUACAGGGGUCAAAGAUUUAUCGCUAUAGGAUGGACCCGCGUCUGAUUAGCUAGUUGGUGAGGUAACGGCCCACCAAGGCGACGAUCAGUAGCCGGCUUGAGAGAGUGACCGGCCACAUUGGGACUGAGACACGGCCCAAACUCC
rnacentral:rRNA from 1 species